UUAAGCAGNCCUUAGCGCGGUGGUCCCACCUGACCCCAUGCCGAACUCAGAAGUGAAACGCCGUAGCGCCGAUGGUAGUGUGGGGUCUCCCCAUGCGAGAGUAGGGAACUGCCAGGC
rnacentral:rRNA from 1 species